CGGGUGGCGGCGGCCGGCUCCUCCGGCGUCUAGUUCUUCUUCUCCGGCGAGGCACUGGCGGCUAGGGUUUUUGUGGUCAGGUGUGGGUGGAGUUAUUUAUACCCUUUACCUUUUAAUCUCAACCGUCCUUCAAGAUUAAAUCUGGACCGUUCAAUCGCGAUUUAAUUGGGAUUAAAUCUGGGCCGUCCGUGCUUGAUUGAAUCUGAGCCGUCCGUACGCGUGAAUCUGGGCUGUCCGUGCGCAAGUUUGAUCUGGGCCGUCCAUGU
rnacentral:lncRNA from 1 species